rnacentral:misc_RNA from 1 species
GUAGGUGAACCUGCGGAAGGAUCAUUAACAAAAUCUACAACACUAACCAUGUUGAACUGUUGGGCAAGCAGAGGGGGGAUCCUUUUCUCCACCUCUGGUCAUCGUCAUACGUAUGACCAGAGUGAGAGGGGAAGAGGAGGGUAGAGGGUCAAAGGACAGCAAGAGGACGACCCCCAAGGGUCUCUUCUCCCCUUAGGGGGGGGGGAGAGAAUUCUAGUCGGUCGGUCGUCGCAUCUCUGGCCUUUGGUCU